rnacentral:tRNA from 1 species
GAUAAGGUGGCUGAGAAUUUAGGUGAUAGAUUGUAAAUCUAUAAACGAGGUUAAACCUCCCUUAUCA